rnacentral:rRNA from 1 species
AUUGAACGCUGGCGGCAGGCCUAACACAUGCAAGUCGAACGAGUGGCGGACGGGUGAGUAAUGUCUGGGAAACUGCCCGAUGGAGGGGGAUAACUACUGGAAACGGUAGCUAAUACCGCAUACCAUCAGAUGCGCCCAGAUGGGAUAAGCUAGUAGGUGGGGUAACGGCUCACCUAGGCGACGAUCCCUAGCUGGUCUGAGAGGAUGACCAGCCACACUGGGACGGGGAAACGGCCAAGAAUCCUACGAGAGGCAGCAGUGGAGAAUAUUGCACAAUGGGAGCAAGACUGAUGCAAGCAUGCCGCGUGUAUGAAGAAGGCCGUGGGGUUAUAAAGUACUUUAAGAGGGGAGGCGUUACCCCCAGAAGAGGCACCGGCGAAAUCCGAGCCAGCAGACGCGGAAAUAC